UCCGUAAGGUGAACCUGCGGAGGGAUCAUUACUGAGU
rnacentral:rRNA from 1 species